AUAAACCUGGCUGGUAUGGUUUAUCUAUAACUGGCUGGCAUGGUUAAUCUAUAACUAACUGGCAGGGAUUAUACAGAACUGACUAGCAGGGAUUAUAUAAAACUAGAUACAGGGAUUAUGUAGAUCUGACUGACAUGGACUAUGUAGAACUGGCUGGCAAGGACUAUAUAGAACUGCCUGGCAAGGAUUAUAGAAAACUGGCUAGCAGGGAUUAUUUACAACUAGAUACAGGGAUUAUGUAGAUCUGACUGGCAUGGACUAUGUAGAACUGGC